CAGAGGGUGCGAGCGUUAAUCGGAAUUACUGGGCGUAAAGGGCGCGUAGGCGGUUGAAUGGGUGUGAUGUGAAAGCCCCGGACUUAACCUGGGAAGUGCAUCGCAAACUGUUUAACUGGAGUAUAUGAGAGGGUGGCGGAAUUUCCGGUGUAGCGGUGAAAUGCGUAGAGAUCGGAAGGAACGUCGAUGGCGAAGGCAGCCACCUGGCAUAAUACUGACGCUGAGGCGCGAGAGCGUGGGGAGCGAACAGGAUUAGAUACCCUGGUAGUCCACGCUGUAAACGAUGAGGACUAGAUGUUGCUGGGGGAACCUAGCAGUAUCGAAGCUAACGCGAUAAGUCUUCCGCCUGGGAAGUAUGGCCGCAAGGUUG
rnacentral:rRNA from 1 species